GGAUGCGAUCAUACCAGCUCUAAAGCAUCGGAUCCCAUCAGAACUCCAAAGUUAAGCGUGCUUGGGCGAGAGUAGUACUAGGAUGGGUGACCUCCUGGGAAGUCCUCGUGUUGCAUUCC
rnacentral:rRNA from 3 species